UACGGAGGAUCCGAGCGUUAUCCGGAUUUAUUGGGUUUAAAGGGUGCGCAGGCGGAAGAUUAAGUCGGUGGUGAAAUUUUGCAGCUCAACUGUAAAAGUGCCUUCGAAACUGGUUUCCUUGAGUGUAGAUGAAGUAGGCGGAAUUUGUGGUGUAGCGGUGAAAUGCAUAGAUAUCACGAGGAACUCCGAUUGCGCAGGCAGCUUACUAAACCAUAACUGACGCUCAGGCACGAAGGCGUGGGGAUCAAACAGGAUUAGAUACCCCUGUA
rnacentral:rRNA from 1 species